GCCCGUGUGGUGUAGUGGUUGCAUUCCACGGGGUAGGGAUGUAAACCCUGUGGGGCCCAGGUUCGAGUCCUGGUGCGGGCA